rnacentral:rRNA from 1 species
AACGAACGCUGGCGGCAGGCUUAACACAUGCAAGUCGAGCGCCUCGCAAGAGGAGCGGCAGACGGGUGAGUAACGCGUGGGAAUCUACCGUGCCCUACGGAAUAGCUCCGGGAAACUGGAAUUAAUACCGUAUACGCCCUUCGGGGGAAAGAUUUAUCGGGGGAUGAUGAGCCCGCGUUGGAUUAGCUAGUUGGUGGGGUAAAGGCCUACCAAGGCGACGAUCCAUAGCUGGUCUGAGAGGAUGAUCAGCCACAUUGGGACGGAGACACGGCCCAAACUCCUACGGGAGGCAUCAGUGGGGAAUAUUGGACAAUGGGCGCAAGCCUGAUCCAGCCAUGCCGCGUGAGUGAUGAAGGCUCUAGGGUUGUAAAGCUCUUUCACCGGUGAAGAUAAUGACGGUAACCGGAGAAGAAGCCCCGGCUAACUUCGUGCCAGCCGCCGCGGUAA